GAGAACAGCAGGGCAGCAGGAGGAAAAGGAGGGCAAUUAAAAGGCGUUGCCUUUGUCUGUGUCCUGCCCCAUGGGCCCCCAAGCCCAGGCCUCUCCCUGACCCCAAGGCGCUGUGCGGUGGGGCUCCUGGCCACCUGCCCUCCCUCCAGAUCCCCGCUGCACACCAGUGACAGAAGAAGACAGCUGCUUCCCGACAAACCCUGGACACCUAGGGAAGGGCCAGGUCACAGUAGGCACCUGGCCAAUGUUUCCUGAGUGGAUGCCGAGACGUGGGCCUGGACAGGAGAGUGGGAGAGGAGCUGGAAGGAGCAAAAGCUAAGGGUAUGAAGGAUUUGACAUCAUGGAGCAAGAGGAAGUUGCAAGGGAGAUAAA
rnacentral:lncRNA from 1 species